CUGCCAGCCGGAAUUCCUGAUUAAUCUCUGGAUUUUUCAGCCUGCUCACCCUGGACUGCCUGCCUGUUGCCUGAACCCCGCUCGUCUGUGAUUACUGAGCUUGCCUUUACCCUGCUGACCACUAGCUACUGAACUCGGACCGGACCUGGAUAAAGCCUCUGGAUUUCCCUGUCGGAACCCUUUCUGGAUUUCUGCCUUCCCGAUCUCGGACCUUGGACCGUCACUGGACAAUCGUCUCUGAAAAGCCCCUUACGAACCACGCCGCCUCACAAGCAAGCGGACUUCGGCUCCCGCCCAGCUCUCCUGCUCCCCAGUAGUCAUUCCUGGCUCAGCUACACCGACUUCAGGAGUUUAUCAGACCAGACGAGAACCUUGGCGUAGAGAGAAACCGCGACUACUUCCUGCUUUGCAAUAAAUUCUUUAAACGUCA